GAACCGUGCGAACGUUGUUCGGAAUCACUGGGCUUAAAGGGCGCGUAGGCGGCCGGGUUGGUCGUGGGUGAAAUCCCCCAGCUUAACUGGGGAACUGCCUACGAUACUGCCAUGGCUCGAGGGAGGAAGGGGCGGUCGGAACUGUCGGUGGAGCGGUGAAAUGCGUUGAUAUCGACAGGAACGCCGGUGGCGAAAGCGGACCGCUGGCCCUCUUCUGACGCUGAGGCGCGAAAGCCAGGGGAGCGAACGGGAUUAGAUACCCCGGUAGUCCUGGCCUUAAACGAUGGGCACUAGGUAGUGGGCUCGACCUGGGCGCACUGCCGCAGCGAAAGUCAUUAGUGCCCCGCCUGGGGAGUAUGGUCGCAAGGCUGAA
rnacentral:rRNA from 1 species